GACCUGAUGGUGUAGUGGUAACAUCUUUGCUUGCAUUACCAUCUCGCGGUUCUUUCAGCAGGAGUCCCUUGUUCGACUCAAGAUCAGGCCA